rnacentral:rRNA from 1 species
CUACGGGUGGCUCCAGUGAGGAAUAUUGCACAAUGGGGGGAACCCUGAUGCAGCAACGCCGCGUGGAGGAUGACGCAUUUCGGUGUGUAAACUCCUUUUAUAUGUCAAGAAAAUGACGGUAGCAUAUGAAUAAGCACCGGCUAACUCCGUGCCAGCAGCCGCGGUAAUACGGAGGGUGCAAGCGUUACUCGGAAUCACUGGGCGUAAAGGACGCGUAGGCUGUUUAGCAAGUCAGAUGUGAAAUCCAAUGGCUCAACCAUUGAACUGCAUUUGAAACUGCUAGACUAGAGUAUGGGAGGGGGAGAUGGAAUUAGUGGUGUAGGGGUAAUAUCCGUAGAUAUCACUAGGAAUACCUAAAGCGAAGGCGAUCUCCUGGAACAUUACUGACGCUAAGGCGUGAAAGCGUGGGGAGCAAACAGGAUUAGAUACCCCUGUAGUC